rnacentral:lncRNA from 1 species
GCAACUUUUAUCACUCUAAACUCUAGAGGUGCUGUGAGGGCAAGUUUUGCACUAAAGAGCUCACUGGGAGACAAAGUAAGGGAGGGGUUUGACUGGUGUUUCAUGCAAAACAUGUACAGUUACUCUUUUUAGUUCUUGUUAUGUUCUUGGUGUAAAGCUGGCAGAAAAGUAUCAGUCCUUAGGUUAUAAUUAGAUAUUGGGUAAGAAUAGGGCCAACAAUAACAACCUGAAGGCUAAAAAGGGAGCAUCUUCUGUGACAGUGACCUCUUCUUCAGCGUUUUUAAUUAUGUACUCGUAAAAACGCUGUACAGCGUUUUUAAUUAUGUGUGGGCAAAACAGUCUCAGUCCUGUGACAUUCUGCUUAAUUUACUGCUGCUUAAAGCAAACUUUUAAUGACCUAUCUGUGUGUCAGUAGAAAACAACAAACAAAGCGUAAACCCUUCAGCAACAUCAGGCAAAUACCUCUCUUCCCCCUCCUGCCAGGCCCUGCCAUGGACCCUGCGGCCUGCUCAGGCCCCAGCACUGUCAGGCAAGUGGGAGCUGACUGUGGAUGUUUCCUUCCAUUGGUCCUGCUGGCUGGUAACGUUUACAUUAAUACUGCUGAGCUGGUGUAA